rnacentral:rRNA from 1 species
UACGUAGGGGGCAAGCGUUGUCCGGAGUUACUGGGCGUAAAGCGCCCGCAGGCGGUUGCUCAAGUCUCAGGUGCCAGCCUUGCGCUUAACGCAGGGAGUGCCUGAGAGACUGAGUGACUUGAGGACCAGAGAGGGACAUGGAACUCCGGGUGGAGUGGUGAAAUGCGUAGAGAUCCGGAAGAACACCAAAGGCGCAGGCAGUGUCCUGGCUGGUACCUGACGCUCAGGGGCGAAAGCGAGGGGAG